rnacentral:rRNA from 1 species
AUACGGAAGGUCCGGGCGUUAUCCGGAUUUAUUGGGUUUAAAGGGAGCGUAGGCGGCCCGUUAAGCGUGCUGUGAAAUGCAGGGGCCCAACCUCUGGAUUGCAGCGUGUACUGGCGGGCUAGAGAGCGCACGACGCAGGCGGAAUUUGUGGUGUAGCGGUGAAAUGCUUAGAUAUCACGAAGAACCCCGAUUGCGAAGGCAGCUUGCGGGAGCGCGACUGACGCUGAAGCUCGAAAGUGCGGGAAUCAAACAGGAUUAGAUACCCUGGUAGUCCGCACGGUAAACGAUGGAUGCCCGUUCUGCGGCCUUCGGGCCACGGGACCAAGCGAAAGCAUUAAGCAUCCCACCUGGGGAGUACGCCGGCAACGGUGAA